rnacentral:pre_miRNA from 1 species
GCAAUACUCGAAUCUGAUAUCGCUGGAGUUUGUUGCCUAAGGAUCUCACAUUCGGUAGAGAUAUAUAUAUAUAUAUAUAUAUAUAUAUAUUUGAAACACACAAAUGUGAGAUCCUUAGGCAACAAACUCCAGCGAUAUCAGAUUCGAGUAUUGC